GGUUAGACAUGUAAGUACUUUCCAGUAUUCUUUUCUCUGAUGAUCUAACGAAAGCUGAAAUUUACGGUGGAACCCAACUCAAGCCAGAAGUGAAAUGAGGCAGAAUUAUCCGAACUGUCAGGGUUGGUGGAAAUAUGAAGAGUGCCCCGAAGGGAGUGGUCCCCAUUAAAGCCAGCAAAAGAGCGAUAAAGAAAACGAGCCAAUCUGUUUGAUCAACCAAUGAAGAAGUCAAAGCCAACUUGACCCGAUCCAAGCUGCUGGUCAUGAAGUAUGUUCAAUCUGGAGAAAAGAGAUGUUCUUAAGACCAUCACCUUUGAGUUCAUUUUUACCACAGAGAUGCUCUGAUUAUAUUAAAGCAGACUACCUAAUGUAUAUGAUGUAAAAUUAUAUGGAACAGUUCGCCCAAGAGCCCUACCUUGGCGCACAUGCGUAUGGCAACGUGUGGAAUCCCAGAGGAUUGGACAACGAAGGUAGUUUCUCUCAAAUGUGGGUUGUGGCGGAGCACAACGAGAAUCUGAAUACUAUGGAGGUUGGAUAGAUGCUGAGUACAUAAUAAAAGCUGUAUCUGCAUUAUUUGCGUUCUAGAAGUGCCCAGAGAAAAAUAAAGGUUCUCUCUUUUUGGUUUCAAGUCAGGAACUCGGAUAAUUUCGGCAAGCAGACUAAGUCAUUCAUAUUCUGGACCGAUUAUUUUCAGGGUGAUAAUUGCUAAAAGACCGGUUGCUUUAAUCUUGGCUGCCUAGGAUUGGUACAAGUGGACCGCAAAAUUACUUUUGGAUUUCCGGUGCAACCUGUGUCCAGCUGCAACAGGAAUCAAUACUAUGUCUAUAACCCUGGUAACGGAAAUUGUCCAUUUAUGGAAAUGAUAGCUUAUCCUAUAUCUAUUUUACAAGCCACUGUGUGUGUUAUGUGCUGUACGCAUGUUGCGAAAUCUUAUUUUCUCACUCAUGCGUUCCCACCCUAGCCUCCCGAGAACCCUUCCCAAAUGGAAAGAGUGGCCACUUGGGCAACCCCUAGUGAUUGCCUCUUUUGUGUUCUCAAUCUAGUUUUCUUGUCAUAAUAGAUUGUAUGAUGCUGUCAGUUAUAAGAAUUAAAAGGCAUCAUUUAACUAUGGGUGAUGCAAACUUGUAUGUAAUGAGUUUAUUUGUCUUCUUACAAAAUGUCCCAAGAUUCAGUCACUGGACAUUUGGUGGUGUCGAUUGGUGAAUGUUGACAUAGGAUAUUGGCGCAAAGAAAUCUUUACUUCUCUAAGCAAAAGUGCUAAUGGGGUUACUUGGGGCGGAGAGAUAGUCAACAUGGAAACUGAUGGUCAUCAUAUGGCAACGCAAAUGGGGAGCGACCACUUUCGUUAUGAAGGAUUCGGGAAAUCGUUUUGUUUCCACAACCUUCAUUAUGCUGAUGCCAAUUUGGUGAACAGAGAAGCCGAUAAUGCUGUAUGGAUGGUGAUGAACCCUGAAUGCUAUGAUUUGCAGAUCAUGGGUAAGAUUUCUCAAUAUGGAGUCAAUUUCUCUUACGGUGAUCCUGGUUUUCAGCUCAGUGUUUGAAGUAGUAAAUGGCAGCUAAGCCAUAGAAUAGAUCUCCCUGAUGCGUACAAUCUGUGCAGACAGUUUCGAAAUGGUGUCCAGAAGUUAGUGUUCAUUAUCGUUUUUUGGAAGGAUGAUCACAUUGGCUUGUAUUUCAGAUACAUUGUCAGCUUCGGAUUUCAGUUGAUGAGAUAGCAACAAUUUGACAGUCAAGUUGUGAGUUUCCA